CAUUUGUAACAAGAGUACUCCCUAGAAAAAAUAAAUCAUUAAUGUAUUCCUGCUGUGCUAGGAGUAUUUGAGACUUAUGGUGAGACAGCAGUGGUAAGUGGGCCAGAGGAGGAAAACAAGGGGCCCUUUUCACAAAAUUGAUGGUGUUAUUUUAUGCCAGCCAGGUACAGAGAGGGAGUAAAACCAAUAUGUCUAAUGACAGCUCACUAGAGAGGUUAUUUAUGCUGUGCCAAAAGAUUUCAGAUGCUGAAUUCAAGCAGCCACUCACCAAGGAAGUGCGAGGUUUUGCUUCCUGGAGUACAGUAGGUUAGUCAUUGUCUUCUCCCUCCAGCCACUGCAUCUGGAAAAGGAAAAUACUGAGGGGAAAAAAUGAUUAAAAUAUAUCAGGUGAGGCAUGGACACACGGGAGCAAGCCCAGUAAAGGCUAUGAAGAUAGAUGAUUAAGGGACUGAAGCAUGCUUGAAGCAAAAGAGGCUGAAAUCUGGGACUGUUAAGCUUGGAGAAGGAGCUCUGGCAGAUCUUACUAGUGUGUGGAUGAGAGACUUGUUCUCCUUGAGGCUUCAGUAUUCUUGCAUCAGUGCUUCAGGGCUGCUCGUGGCACUUGAAAUAUAAAUGUUUAAUGCAGCUGUGAAGUUACUAAAAUAGUAUCCUAUCAAAACCUUCUUUUUAUUCUUUUCUUUGACUGCUCUAAGUUUGAGCCACUCUUCCAUCCUGAAAAGUUCAAGAUUCUGUGUCAGGAUAUUGUAUUGAAAAAUGUAAUAUAAUUAUUUAGUCACAAAGUAAACUGUCUCCAUGAGACAACAUGUUAAGGAAUGCCUGGGAACUGUGCUCAUAAUGUCCUGAACACCCUACAAUAAGAGGCACUGUGGAGACAACUGUAAUUGAGAAGGAAACAGGAAUGGAAAAGGAAAAAGGGAAAGGAAAAGCAAAAUUAAAAUGAAAAAAGAAAAGGAUAAGGGAAAAUGAGAUGGAAAAGGGAGAGGAAGAGGAAUAGGAAAAGGAAAAUG